rnacentral:rRNA from 1 species
CCUACGGGCGGCAGCAGUGAGGAAUAUUGGUCAAUGGGCUUACGCCUGAACCAGCCAAGUCGCGUGAGGGAAGACUGCCCUAUGGGUUGUAAACCUCUUUUGUCAGGGAGCAAUUGGCGCUACGUGUAGCGUUAUCGAGAGUACCUGAAGAAAAAGCAUCGGCUAACUCCGUGCCAGCAGCCGCGGUAAUACGGAGGAUGCGAGCGUUAUCCGGAUUUAUUGGGUUUAAAGGGAGCGUAGAUGGGUUGUUAAGUCAGUUGUGAAAGUUUGCGGCUCAACCGUAAAAUUGCAAUUGAUACUGGCAGCCUUGAGUACAGUUGAGGUAGGCGGAAUUCGUGGUGUAGCGGUGAAAUGCUUAGAUAUCACGAAGAACUCCGAUUGCGAAGGCAGCCUACUAAACUGCCACUGACAUUGAUGCUCGAAAGUGUGGGUAUCAAACAGGAUUAGAUACCCGAGUAGUC